GGCAGGAUAGCUCAGUGGUAGAGCAGAGGACUCAUAAGCCUUUGGUCGCGGGUCCGACUCCCGCUCCUGCCA
rnacentral:tRNA from 1 species